UUGAAAAAGGCUCUUACGAGAGUCAGGGCCAACUGUUGCCUGAAGAAGGGUAA
rfam:Citrobacter koseri ATCC BAA-895, complete genome.